rnacentral:rRNA from 1 species
GAUGAACGCUGGCGGCGUGCUUAACACAUGCAAGUCGAACGGAAAGGCCCAAGCUUGCUUGGGUACUCGAGUGGCGAACGGGUGAGUAACACGUGGGUGAUCUGCCCUGCACUUCGGGAUAAGCCUGGGAAACUGGGUCUAAUACCGGAUAGGACCACUUCUUGGAUGUUGUGGUGGAAAGUUUUUUCGGUGUGGGAUGAGCUCGCGGCCUAUCAGCUUGUUGGUGGGGUAAUGGCCUACCAAGGCGUCGACGGGUAGCCGGCCUGAGAGGGUGUACGGCCACAUUGGGACUGAGAUACGGCCCAGACUCCUACGGGAGGCAGCGGUGGGGAAGAUUGCACAAUGGGCGCAAGCCUGAUGCAGCGACGCCGCGUGGGGGAUGACGGCCUUCGGGUUGUAAACUCCUUUCGCUAGGGACGAAGCGUUUUGUGACGGUACCUGGAGAAGAAGCACCGGCUAACUACGUG